rnacentral:rRNA from 1 species
AAAAAAACACAGAAAUACGACACCAAGGGAGGGUCCAGUACUGCUACGCGCUAGUACAACUAGAGCCGGCAAUGGCGGCUCAACCAGUGCUACCACUAUUGCUCUAUCUCUUACUCGUCCCUCUGCUGCUCCUCCUCCGGGCAACAACCACGAGGUCGGCCGGCGAGCGAGCAGCAGCGGACAACCAUGGGGGCCGUCCCCUCCCUUCGCCUCCGAACAAGCUCCCUCUCAUCGGCCACCUGCACCUGGUCGGCCCCGACCCGCACGUCUCCCUCGCCGCCCUCGCCGCCAAGCACGGCGAUGGCGGCUCAUGCUCCUCCGCCUCGGCCAGACGCGCGCCCUCGUCGUCUCCUCCCCGCGCGCGGCCGAGGCGGUCCUGCGCACGCACGACCACGUCUUCGCCUCGCGGCCGCCGAGCGCGCUCGUCGACGCCCUCCUGGGCGGCGGCGCCGACGUCGCCUUCGCCCCCUACGGCGAGUUCUGGCGCCAGGCCAGGAGGCUGGUCACCACGCACCUGCGCAGCGCCAGGAAGGUGCACUCGCUCCGCCGCGGCCGCGAGGAGGAGGCGCGCCUGGUGAUGGCCGGGAUCCGGGGCGCGGCGGCCGCCGGCGCCCCCGUGGACAUGACGAGGCUGCUCGGCAGCUUCACCAACGACAUAGCGUGCCGCGCCGUGUCCGGGAAGUUCUUCCGGGAGGAAGGCCGGAACGAGCUGUUCCGGGAGGCGAUCGACGGGAACGUGGCCGCGUUUGGCGGGUUCAGCGUGCUGGACUACUUCCCGGGCCUGGCCAAGGUGGGCGUGCUCGCGCGACUGGUGUUUGCCAAGACCAAUCAGUUGAAGAGGAAAUGGGACGAGCUGCUCGAUAAGAUCAUCGACGACCAUGUCAGCAAAGCAUCGGCACAGGAGCAACACCCCGAGCACGAUCAGCAAGAAGAUCAAGAAGAGACAGACUUCGUUGAUGUGCUGCUCGAUCUUCAGGAGGGGUACAAUCUCACCAGAGAGCAUAUCAAGGCCAUAUUGAUGGUAAAUCUCCUCUCAUACCCUCAUAAUACCUUUGUCUUGGUUUAUUAGUCCCUUUUGUAAUUUAUGCUAAAUUUUGACCAAAUAUUUAACUGACAAAACCUUAAUACAUGUAAAAUAAUUAUAUCCUUAGAUUCUUAUUUGAACAUAGUUUUUGAUAAUAUAAAUUUUGGUGACAUGCACGAAUAUUUUGUUAAUUAAAUUUAUGGUCAAAAUUUAGCACAGAUUACAAUGGAGACAAAUAAACCAGGACAAAUGUUGUAUGUUCGUAGCUAGCCUAUUAUGGUAAAUAUGGUCAUAUAUUAAGUGUGCUGAUGCUUCAGAUCGAACCCAUACACAAGACAUGUUUGUGGCAGGCACGGAUACGUCAUACAUAGUUCUCGAGUGUGCCAUGGCUGAGCUCAUGCGAAAGCCGAACCUCAUGACCAAACUUCAAGCCGAGGUGAGGCAAAAGACACCCAAGGGCCAACAAAUGGUGACCGAGGACGACUUGGGCAACAUGGCCUACCUAAAGGCCGUCGUGAAGGAGACGCUCCGGCUACACCCACCGCUGCCGCUCCUCCUCCCGCACCUCUCCAUGGCCGAAUGCGAUAUCGACGGUUAUAAAGUCUCCGCUGAAACUCGUGUGAUCGUAAACGCUUGGGCUCUUGGUAGAGACCCUGGAUCGUGGGAGGCUGCCGACGAGUUCAUGCCGGAGAGGUUUGUGGACAUCGUGUCCCUCGAUUUCAAAGGGAGGGAUUUUCAGUUUCUGCCAUUUGGAGCUGGGCGAAGGAUGUGUCCCGGGAUAAAUUUUGGGAUGGCGUCUGUGGAGAUCAUGCUCGCCAACCUUGUCUAUUGUUAUGAUUGGGAGCUCCCGGACGGCAUGCGGCAAGCGGGCCUGGAUAUGACUGAUGUGUUUGGCAUGACUAUGCGUCGGAAAGAGAAGUUAUUUCUUAUCCCGAGAAUGAGAUGUUAAUCAUGCAUACUAUCUGUCAUGAGUUAUGUGCACUUGUAAAGCUAGAUAUUACACUAGUAUAUAUGGUUUUCCCAGUUUUCAAGAGGGUAUGUGGGGAAUACUCCAGGUACUCACAUUCUGCCACAUAAAAACUACCAACC